rnacentral:rRNA from 1 species
AUUGAACGCUGGCGGAAUGCUUUACACAUGCAAGUCGAACGGUAGAGGGGGCAACCCCUCGAGAGUGGCGAACGGGUGAGUAAUAUAUCGGAACGUGCCCAGUCGUGGGGGAUAACGUAGCGAAGGUUAGGUUAAAACCGCAUCCGAUCUAAGGAUGAAGGCGGGGGAUGGCAAGACUCGGGGCGAUUGAAGCGGCCGAUAUCAGGUUAGGUAGUUGGUGGGGUAAAGGCUCACCAAGCCAACGAUCUGUACCUGGUCUGAGAGGACGACCAGCCACACUGGAACUGAGACACGGUCCAGACUCCUACGGGAGGCAGCAGUGGGGAAUUUUGGACAAUGGACGCAAGUCUGAUCCAGCCAUUCCGCGUGCAGGAUGAAGGCCCUCGGGUUGUAAACUGCUUUUGUACGGAACGAAAAGGUCUCUCUUAAUACGGGGGACUCAUGACGGUACCGUAAGAAUAAGCACCGGCUAACUACGUGCCAGCCGCCGCCGUAA